rnacentral:ribozyme from 1 species
GAAAGAGAAUGAAAGAAAGAGAAAAAAAAAAGUUGUGAAGAAAAGAAAGCGACAGGCUCACUGCGUUUGUUUAACUAACUCCAGUGUCUGCUUU